AGUGAACGCUGGCGGUAGGCCUAACACAUGCAAGUCGAACGGCCGCACAGUAAGAUCUUGCUCUUACGGGUGGCGAGUGGCGGACGGGUGAGGAAUACAUCGGAAUCUACUUUUUCGUGGGGGAUAACGGAGGGAAACUUACGCUAAUACCGCAUACGACCUACGGGUGAAAGCAGGGGAUCUUCGGACCUUGCGCGAUUGAAUGAGCCGAUGUCGGAUUAGCUAGUUGGCGGGGUAAAGGCCCACCAAGGCGACGAUCCGUAGCUGGCCUGAGAGGAUGAUCAGCCACACUGGAACUGAGACACGGUCCAGACUCCUACGGGAGGCAGCAGUGGGGAAUAUUGGACAAUGGGCGAAAGCCUGACCCAGCCAUGCCGCGUGGGUGAAGAAGGCCUUCGGGUUGUAAAGCCCUUUUGUUGGGAAAGAAAAGCAGCAGGUUAAUACCCCGCUGUUCUGACGGUACCCAAAGAAUAAGCACCGGCUAACUUCGUG
rnacentral:rRNA from 1 species